AGCUAUACUGCUUUCCUUUUGGGACAAGGUUUUCACCAUUUUGAGCCCCAGUUGCACCAUCUCCAAGUUGGGGCUCAUGACAGUCCCUGCAAAUGAGGUCACGGCUCAGCAGGUGGAAGCACGCUGGCACCGAUUGGAAGCUCCAGAAGUGUUAUCUGUGUGGCUUUCUCCUUUCCCCUACCCCCAGCCACAUCUUAAACAGGAAACACCGGGCUUCCCAAGCCACUUCUGAGUGCACUCUCACGCAUACCUCUGUGGCGGCCAACGGAGCGUCUCCUGGGAGCAAGAACACUCCUGCUACACAGCUAUUAAUUACCAACUGGAGGACAAGCCAGUUCUCCACCUUCAGCCAGCUUGCUGGGCGAGCUUAGGCAAGUAGCUGUCUGUCUCUGGUCUGCCCCCUACCUCAGUGUCCCAGCAAAGAAGCCAUCCAGUGUCCAGCCUCUGUGCUGACAUCACUAGAGAUGCCUUCUUCGACCUAACACCUUUGGAAGGAGGGACUGAUUCCAUUUCAUACAUGUGGAGACAGAAGCCCAGAGAGGUAGUGACCGUGCCUAAGGCCACACCCUGGGAAAUGGGCUGAGGGUGGCUGACCCCAUGCCCUGCUCCUCCUCCUCUGCCACACUGCUGCUCCCAGGAGGGUCAAAGGAUCCCUCCUCUCAUGCCCAGAGUACGGACCUUGAUCCGCUUUUUUUUUUUUAGAUGGAAUUUUGCUCUUUUCCCCCAGGCCGGAGUGCAGUGGCACAAUCUUGGCUCACUGCAAACUCCGCCUCCUGGAUUCAAGCGAUUGUCCAGCCUCAGCCUCCCGAGUAGCUGGGAUUGCAGGUACCUGCCACCACGCCCAGCUAAUUUUUGUAUUUUUAGUAGAGAUGGGGUUUCGCCAUGUUGGCCUGGCUGGUCUCGAACUCCUGACCUCAGGUGAUCUACCCACCUCAGCCUCCCAAAGUGCUGGGAUUAUGGGCACGAGCCACCGCGCCGGGCGGAGCCUCUCUCUUUUAUCCAUCUCUCCCAACCCCCACCCCACAAGGAGGCAGGAGAUUCCAUUUCCUCAUGAUCCACUCGUGAGGCGGGAAUACUCUCUCCAGGCCAAACUGGCUACCUCAGCCAGCAAGCGUCUGUGCGGAGCCCCUCUGGGCCUGCUGGGUGAUAGGAACUAGAGCAAGACACGGCCCCUGGCUUCCAGGAGUUCACAGCAAACACAUGGACACAUCUAAAGUCUAAAUGCUACAGGAGAGAUGAUAUUUACCACCAUGGUGAUAGAGUACAGACUGGCCGCAAGCCCUGAAAAGCAGCACAUCUGCAAAAGGAGAUUGUCGGGUAAAGCAUGGGAAGGAGGUGAUGCUUGAGAAAGGUUGUUUUUUGUUUUUGUUUUGAGACAGUCUAACUCUGUUGCACAGGCUGGAGUGCAGUGGUGUGAUCUCGGCUCACUGCAACCUCCACCUCCCAGGUUCAAGCCAUUCUCCUGCCUCAGCCUCCUGAAUAGCUGGGAUUGCAGGCACCUGCCACAAGGCCCAGCUAAUUUUUGUAUUUUUAGUAGAGACAGGGUUUCACCAUGUUGGCCAGGCCGGUCUCAAACUCCUAACCUCAAGUGAUCCACCCACUUUGGCCUCCCAAAGUGCUGGGAUUACAGGUGUGAGCCACCUUGCCGGGCCAAGAAGAGUUUUGAAGAAUCGAAUGGGACUCGUCCUGAGAGGCAAGCGGUGGGAAGGGUAUUCCAGGCAGAAGGGAGAGCGUAUGCAUGGCACAGAGGCAGGAAAGUCCAUGGUCCAUCCCAGGAGGAGGCUUUGGUGGGGCCUUGGAGUCACACAGUCCUGGCUCCAAUCACAGCCCUCUCCGUCACUAGCCAAGCCUCAGUUUCCUUCAUCUCUGAAAUGGGAGGACAGGACCCUCCUCAUGGUUAUGAGAUCGUAAAUGUAAUGUCAGAACACAAUGCAAUUAGGUGGUAAGCGCCCUAUUAAACGCUUCUCUUAUUGUGU